rnacentral:rRNA from 1 species
UACGUAGGGGGCAAGCGUUGUUCGGAAUUACUGGGCGUAAAGGGCGCGUAGGCGGCACGGCAAGUCAGGAGUGAAAGCCCUGGGCUCAACCCGGGAACUGCUUUUGAAACUGCCGAGCUAGAGUGCGGGAGGGGCAACUGGAAUUCCCAGUGUAGCGGUGAAAUGCGUAGAUAUUGGGAAGAACACCUGAGGCGAAGGCGGGUUGCUGGGCCGACACUGACGCUGAUGCGCGAAAGCCAGGGGAGCGAACGGG